AUCACUCAUGGUAUGAUCUUCUACAUGCUAGGUCUUCCCGUUCCGUCAUCCGGCUUAUGUUCUUCAUGUAGCAUUCAGACCGAAUGAUCCCAGUAGUCCUAGUCAUAAACGAUGGAUACUAGGCUCUGUGUGUAUCGACUUGUGCAAUGUUGUAGCUAACGCGUUAAGUAUCCCGCCUGGGGAGUACGUUCGUAAGAAUGAAACUCAAGGAAUUGAUGGGGAUUCGAUUGACGAUGAAGAAAAAGGAUUCUUAGUUGAGCUCUCCACUUUAACGAUAGAAAAAAGGAUUGAUCAAAUUCUAU
rnacentral:rRNA from 1 species